GGGCAGUUGGCGGAGUGGUCAAUCGCAACAGACUGUAAAUCUGUCGGGCUAUGCCCUACGGAGGUUCAAAUCCUUCACUGCCCA
rnacentral:tRNA from 1 species